CAGUAGCCGCGGUAACACGGAGGGGGCUAGCGUUGUUCGGAAUUACUGGGCGUAAAGCGCGCGUAGGCGGUUACUCAAGUCAGAGGUGAAAGCCCGGGGCUCAACCCCGGAACUGCCUUUGAAACUAGGUGACUAGAAUCUUGGAGAGGUCAGUGGAAUUCCGAGUGUAGAGGUGAAAUUCGUAGAUAUUCGGAAGAACACCAGUGGCGAAGGCGACUGACUGGACAAGUAUUGACGCUGAGGUGCGAAAGCGUGGGGAGCAAACAGGAUUAGAUACCCGAGUAGUCCCUGUCUCUUAUAC
rnacentral:rRNA from 1 species